GGAGCACGGGGUGAGCCAGGCAGAACCACGGCAGCUGUUUGCGGAGCUGAGGCAGCAGGUAGUGAGUGAUGAAGCCCACCACUCCGGCCAGGAUGUACAGGACAAAGCUGAGAGCAGGCUGCAGAGCGAUAAACACGGUGCUGGCGCUGAUGGCGAACGUGAUGACAGCCAUGAGGGGACACAUGACCAGGUCUGAGUGAAGAAUCUCACUCUGCACAGAGACGUUUGACUUAAAAACUGCUUGAAAUGGAAUCUGAGUCAGCGCAGGCAUGAAAUCUUUACCACGGAGUUACGCAGCUUCUCAGGGAGGGGGUCCUUGAUCUCAACGGGAGGUUCUUCGGGUGUUCUGUUCUCCAGUUCUGGGAAUAAUUUAGACCGGACGAGUGACCUAGUUUAAAAGGAGGAGAAAAAAAAUAAAAGAA